rnacentral:rRNA from 1 species
AUUGAACGCUGGCGGCAUGCCUUACACAUGCAAGUCGAACGGCAGCACGGGAGCAAUCCUGGUGGCGAGUGGCGAACGGGUGAGUAAUGUAUCGGAACGUACCUUUCAGUGGGGGAUAACGUAGCGAAAGUUGCGCUAAUACCGCAUAUUCUGUGAGCAGGAAAGCAGGGGAUCGCAAGACCUUGCGCUGAUUGAGCGGCCGAUAUCAGAUUAGCUAGUUGGUGAGGUAAAGGCUCACCAAGGCGACGAUCUGUAGCGGGUCUGAGAGGAUGAUCCGCCACACUGGAACUGAGACACGGUCCAGACUCCUACGGAGGCAGCAGUGGGGAAUUUUGGACAAUGGGCGCAAGCCUGAUCCAGCCAUGCCGCGUGAGUGAAGAAGGCC